rnacentral:rRNA from 1 species
CCUACGGGCGGCAGCAGUGGGGAAUAUUGCACAAUGGGGGAAACCCUGAUGCAGCGACGCCGCGUGAAGGAAGAAGUAUUUCGGUAUGUAAACUUCUAUCAGCAGGGAAGAUAAUGACGGUACCUGACUAAUAAGCACCGGCUAACUACGUGCCAGCAGCCGCGGUAAUACGUAGGGGGCAAGCGUUAUCCGGAUUUACUGGGUGUAAAGGGAGCGUAGGCGGCGUUGCAAGUCAGAAGUGAAAGCCUGGGGCUUAACCACGGGACUGCUUUUGAAACUGUAUGGCUAGAUUGCAGGAGAGGCAAGUGGAAUUCCUAGUGUAGCGGUGAAAUGCGUAGAUAUUAGGAGGAACACCAGUGGCGAAGGCGGCUUGCUGGACUGUAAAUGACGCUGAGGCUCGAAAGCGUGGGGAGCAAACAGGAUUAGAUACCCGAGUAGUC